UGCUGGAGAAGAUUUUAAAAUCCUGAGACUUCCUCUGACAUGUGGGAAUUGAUUUGGAAGAAAAGAGGGUUAAAAUACCAGGAGCCUUAAAAGUUCAUUUAUUUAACAAAUAUUUAUUGAAUCCCUACUAUAUGCAAGGAUCGUUUUAAGUCCUGGAGAUAAAGGAAUGAACACAAUAGAUACAAAUCACUGCUUUUAAAGAGCUUCCUUUCUGAUGUGAAAGACAAAUAAUAAAAGAGAGGAGCUUCCUCUCCAGAGUCUUCUUCUGGGGAAAUAAUAAUAAGGAGGAAGGCGACUGUGCGGCCAAAGAAAUGGAUGGAACUGAAAAUGGUGGUAGCACAUCGGAGGGAGGAAAGGAGGUUAUAGUUGCCAACUCAUUCGAUCACUCAAAGGCCUCUACAUCGAGCGGCCCUUCAAAGCCAGGACCUGCGUUCUCUUUUGUUCCUUCUGUAACGGCCAGGAAAAUAUUCUGCUCAACGUGGCAUGGCAAUGUGAUUCCAAUGCAGAGGGCAAAGUAGUAUAUGUAAUACACCCCAACUGACAUAAAAUUAAUUAUGUUUCUCUGCUUCAUAGCCCCCAGUACUUCCUUUACCGUAACACUCAAACCCUUUCCUAUUAUUCCUUAGUUAAUAUUUAAUGUCCCUGCCAGACUGGAAGCUCCAUGACAGCAGGAACCCUAUCUUUAGCCCCAGCACCUACACCAGAGCUAGAUGUGGCACAGGACACGACGUCAACAGAGCCACUGAAUCUAAGGAACUGAGCUUGUUCCCUACUUCCUUUCCAAACUGCUGACAAAUCGUCCAUUUAAUCAUCUGUGUCUAGAACUUUGCCUAGGAUUAUCAUCAAGCCUGUGGAAUUUACCAUUUCCUAGUUGAUGAGUGUUUGCAUCUUUACUCACAUUGCCAUGCCAAUAAAAUUAGAUCCACAUACUCUCUUUACUACCCAGUGUUCUGUUUUAUGGAUUUAUUGCAAAUUAUUUAA